rnacentral:rRNA from 1 species
UACGUAGGGUGCAAGCGUUGUCCGGAAUUAUUGGGCGUAAAGAGCUCGUAGGCGGUCUGUCACGUCGGCUGUGAAAACCUGGGGCUCAACUCCGGGCCUGCAGCCGAUACGGGCAGACUAGAGUUCGGCAGGGGAGACUGGAAUUCCUGGUGUAGCGGUGAAAUGCGCAGAUAUCAGGAGGAACACCGGUGGCGAAGGCGGGUCUCUGGGCCGAUACUGACGCUGAGGAGCGAAAGCGUGGGGAGCAAACAGG